AGGCAUAUAGCUCAAUUGGUUAGAGCAUCACGCUGAUACCGUGAAGGUCAGUGGUUCGAAUCCACUUAUGCCUA
rnacentral:tRNA from 1 species